AACGCUGGCGGCGUGCCUAACACAUGCAAGUCGAACGAGAAAGUGGAGCAAUCCAUGAGUAAAGUGGCGACCGGGUGAGUAACACGUGACUAACCUACCUCCGAGUGGGGAAUAACUCCGGGAAACCGGGGCUAAUACUGCAUAACAUCGCAAGAUCAAAGCAGCAAUGCGCUUGGAGAGGGGGUCGCGGCUGAUUAGCUAGUUGGCGGGGUAACGGCCCACCAAGGCGAAGAUCGGUAUCCGGCCUGAGAGGGCGCACGGACACACUGGAACUGAAACACGGUCCAGACUCCUACGGGAGGCAGCAGUGGGGAAUUUUGCGCAAUGGGGGAAACCCUGACGCAGCAACGCCGCGUGGAGGAUGAAGCCCCUUGGGGCGUAAACUCCUUUCGACCAGGACGAU
rnacentral:rRNA from 1 species